rnacentral:tRNA from 1 species
GCUAGCGUAGCUUAAACCUAAAGCACGGCACUGAAAAUGCCAAGACAGACGAUAAUAAAUCUCGCGGGCA